rnacentral:rRNA from 1 species
UACGAAGGGGGCUAGCGUUGCUCGGAAUCACUGGGCGUAAAGCGCACGUAGGCGGACUCUUAAGUCGGUGGUGAAAUCCUGGAGCUCAACUCCAGGACUGCCUUCGAUACUGAGAGUCUCGAGUCCGAGAGAGGUGAGUGGAACUGCGAGUGUAGAGGUGAAAUUCGUAGAUAUUCGCAAGAACACCAGUGGCGAAGGCGGCUCACUGGCUCGGUACUGACGCUGAGGUGCGAAAGCGUGGGGAGCAACAGG